rnacentral:rRNA from 1 species
GUCUGUUUGUAGUUAUAAAAAGUCUAGCCUGCCCACUGAUAGUUUUAAAGGGCCGCGGUAUUCUGACUGUGCAAAGGUAGCAUAAUCGUUAGUUUUUUAAUUGGAAUCUUGUAUGAAUGGUUUGACAAAAAAAAAUCUGUCUUUAUAAAUAUUAUUUGAAUUUAACUUUUAAGUGAAAAGGCUUAAAUAAAUUAAAAAGACGAUAAGACCCUAUAAAGCUUAAUAUUAAAUUUUUAUUUAAUUAAAUUUUAAAUAGUAUAAAAAUUUGGUAAUUAAAUUUUAUUUUAUUGGGGUGAUAAUGGUAUAAUGAUUAUUAACUGUUAAUUAUUUAAACAAUAAUAAAUGUGUAAAUAUUAAUAAAUGAUCCUAUAUUAAAGAUUAAAAGUUUAAGUUACUUUAGGGAUAACAGCGUUAUUUUUUUUGAGAGUUCUUAUCGAGAAAAAAGUUUGCGACCUCGAUGUUGAAUUAAAAUAUCUAUAUAAUUGCAGUAGUUAUAUAAGAAGGUCUGUUCGACCUUUAAAAUUUUACAUGAUUUGAGUUCAGACCGGUGUGAGCCAGGUCGGUUUCUAUCUUUUAAUGUAUAAUAAUUAUUUUAGUACGAAAGGAUUAAAUAAUUAAAAUUGUUUUUAAAAAUUUUGAAUAAAA